rnacentral:rRNA from 1 species
AGAGAAUAGAUACCCUGGUAGUCCAUGCUGUAAACGAUGAGAACUAGAUGUUAGGGGGCAUGACCUCUUAGUAUCGAAGCUAACGCGAUAAGUUCUCCGCCUGGGGAGUACGGCCGCAAGGUUAAAACUCAAAGAAAUUGACGGGGGCCCGCACAAGCGGUGGAGCAUGUGGUUUAAUUCGAUGCAACGCGAAGAACCUUACCUACCUUUGAAUCCACGGAACCUAGCAGAGAUGUUGGGGUGCCUUCGGGAACCGUGAGACAGGUGCUGCAUGGCUGUCGUCAGCUCGUGUCGUGAGAUGUUGG